rnacentral:rRNA from 1 species
AGCGAACGCUGGCGGCAGGCUUAACACAUGCAAGUCGAGCGGGCGUAGCAAUACGUCAGCGGCAGACGGGUGAGUAACACGUGGGAACGUACCUUUUGGUUCGGAACAACUGAGGGAAACUUCAGCUAAUACCGGAUAAGCCCUUACGGGGAAAGAUUUAUCGCCGAAAGAUCGGCCCGCGUCUGAUUAGCUAGUUGGUAGGGUAAUGGCCUACCAAGGCGACGAUCAGUAGCUGGUCUGAGAGGAUGAUCAGCCACACUGGGACUGAGACACGGCCCAGACUCCUACGGGAGGCAGCAGUGGGGAAUAUUGGACAAUGGGCGCAAGCCUGAUCCAGCCAUGCCGCGUGAGUGAUGAAGGCCCUAGGGUUGUAAAGCUCUUUUAACGGGGAAGAUAAUGACGGUACCCGUAGAAUAAGCCCCGGCUAACUUCGUGCCAGCAGCCGCGGUAA